rnacentral:rRNA from 1 species
GAUGAACGCUGGCGGCGUGCCUAAUACAUGCAAGUCGAGCGAACAGACGAGGAGCUUGCUCCUCUGACGUUAGCGGCGGACGGGUGAGUAACACGUGGAUAACCUACCUAUAAGACUGGGAUAACUUCGGGAAACCGGAGCCAAUACCGGAUAAUAUAUUGAACCGCAGGGUUCAAUAGUGAAAGACGGUUUUGCUGUCACUUAGAGAUGGAUCCGCGCCGCAUUAGCUAGUUGGUAAGGUAACGGCUUACCAAGGCGACGAUGCGGAGCCGACCUGAGAGGGUGAUCGGCCACACUGGAACUGAGACACGGUCCAGACUCCUACGGGAGGCAGCAGUGGGGAAUCUUCCGCAAUGGGCGAAAGCCUGACGGAGCAACGCCGCGUGAGUGAUGAAGGUCUUCGGAUCGUAAAACUCUGUUAUUAGGAAAGAACAAAUGUGUAAGUAACUAUGCACGUCUUGACGGUACCUAAUCAGAAAGCCACGGCUAACUACGUG